rnacentral:piRNA from 1 species
UUUGUUUUGUUUUUGGCAUUG